rnacentral:rRNA from 1 species
UACGUAGGGUGCGAGCGUUGUCCGGAAUUAUUGGGCGUAAAGAGCUCGUAGGCGGUCUGUCGCGUCGGUCGUGAAAACUUGGGGCUUAACCCUGAGCUUGCGGUCGAUACGGGCAUGACUGGAGUUCGGCAGGGGAGACUGGAAUUCCUGGUGUAGCGGUGAAAUGCGUAGAUAUCAGUGAAGAAGCCGGUGGCGAAGGCGGGUCUCUGGGACG